GGGUGUGCUCUCAUGAUGGCAGGCUGUCACCUCGUUCCAGAGGGGUUGAGUCAACAUGAGCAAGGCUAGUCUCUUUUCUCUAUCAGUUCUCUGGCUAACAGAUAUGAAUUCCCUCUAAAUGAGAUUAAUAGUAUAAAGGUUUGAUAAACACGACCGUGAUGUUUCAUUCUUUCCUUAUAUGAGGGCAGUGCUGUAUACUUCUGUGCAGCCAAUCCUACCUCCUACCCUGUACAUUCUCUACACCGGUACACCAGUCUCUCCUCUCUGAUGCUGUGGGUUAACAACAUGAUGAAAGGACUUCUCAUCCACCUGGCUGUGUUCACCAUUUGGGUGAAAGCAUUGUCCAAAAGUCAAGUUCAUCAGGCUCCUCGUGAUCUUUUAACACAACCUGGAGAUGAUGUUCAGCUGAACUGCAGUCAUAAAAUUCCCAGUUAUGACACAAUAUUGU